UUCACUCAGUGUCACUUUGCGACUGUUCGUUUUUUAUUUAAGGGCACACCGGAGGAGUUUUGUGAUCUUUAGUCA